rnacentral:tRNA from 1 species
GAUAGUGUGGCCGAGUGGUCUAUGGCGCUGGUUUUAGGCACCAGUCUCUUCGGAGGUAAGGGUUCGAAUCCCUUCACUGUCA